UCUACACGACUCUCGGCAACGGAUAUCUCGGCUCUCGCAUCGAUGAAGAACGUAGCGAAAUGCGAUACCUGGUGUGAAUUGCAGAAUCCCGCGAACCAUCGAGUCUUUGAACGCAAGUUGCGCCCGAGGCCAUUCGGUCGAGGGCACGCCUGCCUGGGCGUCACG
rnacentral:rRNA from 1 species